AUUGAACGCUGGCGGCAGGCCUAACACAUGCAAGUCGAGCGAGCGGCGGACGGGUGAGUAAUGUAUGGGACCUGCCCGAUAUAGGGGGAUAACUACUGGAAACGGUGGCUAAUACCGCAUACUAUCGGAUAACCCAUAUGGGAUUAGCUAGUAGGUGGGGUAAAGGGGCACCUAGGCGACGAUGUCUAGCUGGUCUGAGAGGAUGAUCAGCCGUACUGGGACGAGGACACGGCCCAGACGCCGACGGAGGCAGCAGUGGGGACUAUUGCACAAUGGGCGCAAGCCUGAUGCAGCCAUGCCGCGUGUAUGAAGAAGGCCUUAGGGUGGUAAAGUACUUUAAGCGGGGAGGCGUGCCCCGAAGAAGAAGCACCGGCUAACUCCGUGCCAGCAGCCGCGGUAAUAC
rnacentral:rRNA from 1 species